UUUUGUGUCCACCGGAAAGUCGGUAGAAGGGAUUGACGCGGGGAAUCGCAGAGUAGAGGGGGAUGUUCGUUGCACCACACACAGUUCGUGGCAGAGCGAGGCGAUACGCAUUUCGGAUGUAAUUCGUUAAUUUUUGACAUUAUUAUUUCUCCGUUGUUGGCUGGUUUUGGGAGUGGUUUGGGCGGUGAAAUUUACUGGGUGUUGACUACUGAGAAGGAUUGAUUGAGACGGUCUGUUUGGGAAUCCCCUCAUUACGAACGUUUUUCAAUUGUUCAGAAACAGUUGAUAUUCGAAAAGUUAGUGAGACCAGAGCGAUCAUCUACAGUGGAAUCAUUUUGUAAAGAUGAGUGAGUCCGAGAACAGGCAAAAGUUUACGAUUGUGCAUUUUGGGAUGGGCAGAGCCACAAAAAACAAUGAGGCGAAACUUGCAUACAUGAAAACAGUAUGUUUCAAAUGUAUGGAGGAUGUACUCACGAAGAAAUUUGAGAAAUUCCCUCUGACAGUGCUGACUGCGACAAGCAAUUAUCUAGCCGGUGCACCCAAUCGAAAAGAAUAAAU